rnacentral:rRNA from 1 species
UACGGAGGGUGCAAGCGUUAUCCGGAUUUACUGGGUUUAAAGGGUGCGUAGGUGGGCCUGUAAGUCAGUGGUGAAAUCUCCGGGCUUAACCCGGAAACUGCCAAUGAUACUAUAGGUCUUGAAUUAUCUGGAGGUGAGCGGAAUAUGUCAUGUAGCGGUGAAAUGCUUAGAUAUGACAUAGAACACCAAUUGCGAAGGCAGCUCACUACGGAUAUAUUGACACUGAGGCACGAAAGCGUGGGGAUCAAACAGG